rnacentral:misc_RNA from 1 species
UGGGAUCUGCCAAACCAUAA